rnacentral:rRNA from 1 species
UACGUAGGGUGCAGGCGUUAAUCGGAAUUACUGGGCGUAAAGCGUGCGCAGGCGGUCUUUUAAGUCAGAUGUGAAAGCCCCGGGCUCAACCUGGGAACUGCAUUUGAAACUGGCGGGCUUGAGUGCGGCAGAGGGGGGUGGAAUUCCGCGUGUAGGCAGGUGAAAUGCGUAGAGAUGCGGAGGAACACCGAUGGCGAAGGCAGCCCCCUGGGCCGACACUGACGCCUCAGGCACGAAAGCGUGGGGAGCAAACAGG